rnacentral:rRNA from 1 species
ACGAACGCUGGCGGCGUGCCUAAUACCUGCAAGUAGAACGCUGAAGAGAGGAGCUUGCUCUUCUUGGAUGAGUUGCGAACGGGUGAGUAACGCGUAGGUAGCCUGCCUUGUAGCGGGGGAUAACUAUUGGAAACGAUAGCUAAUACCGCAUAACAAUGGAUGACACAUGUCAUUUAUUUGAAAGGGGCAAUUGCUCCACUACAAGAUGGACCUGCGUUGUAUUAGCUAGUAGGUGAGGUAAUGGCUCACCUAGGCGACGAUACAUAGCCGACCUGAGAGGGUGAUCGGCCACACUGGGACUGAGACACGGCCCAGACUCCUACGGGAGGCAGCAGUAGGGAAUCUUCGGCAAUGGGGGCAACCCUGACCGAGCAACGCCGCGUGAGUGAAGAGGGUUUUCGGAUCGUAAAGCUCUGUUGUAAGUCAAGAACGGGUGUGAGAGUGGAAAGUUCACACUGUGACGGUAGCUUACCAGAAAGGGACGGCUAACUACGUG